rnacentral:rRNA from 1 species
AGUGAACGCUGGCGGUAGGCCUAACACAUGCAUGUCGAACGGCAGCACAGUAAGAGCUUGCUCUUACGGGUGGCGAGUGGCGGACGGGUGAGGAAUACAUCGGAAUCUACUUUUUCGUGGGGGAUAACGUAGGGAAACUUACGCUAAUACCGCAUACGACCUACGGGUGAAAGCAGGGGAUCUUCGGACCUUGCGCGACUGAAUGAGCCGAUGUCGGAUUAGCUAGUUGGCGGGGUAAAGGCCCACCAAGGCGACGAUCCGUAGCUGGUCUGAGAGGAUGACCAGCCACACUGGAACUGAGACACGGUCCAGACUCCUACGGGAGGCAGCAGUGGGGAAUAUUGGACAAUGGGCGCAAGCCUGAUCCAGCCAUACCGCGUGGGUGAAGAAGGCCUUCGGGUUGUAAAGCCCUUUUGUUGGGAAAGAAAAGCAGCAGGUUAAUACCCCGCUGUUCUGACGGUACCCAAAGAAUAAGCACCGGCUAACUUCGUG